rnacentral:tRNA from 1 species
UAGCUGAGUGGUAAAGCGCUUGGUUUUAUGAACCGGGGGUCCCGGGUUCAAAUCCUGG